rfam:Myotis brandtii contig163212, whole genome shotgun sequence.
GCCGGUGUGGCUCAGUGGAUAGAGCCUUGGCCUGUCGGCCAAAGGGUCCCAGGUUCGAUUCCUGGGCAAGGGCA